UACAGUGUAUAAAGCACUCGCCACAAUAAUUAGUGAAAAGGCCUCAUACUAGCACAUCGUCAAAACAGACGCUGCAAGUGACAAAGAUUACCAAGUACACAAAUACAAGAUAAUCAAUGUCUCGUCUAAGGACGCUUCAUGUAUAGAUGCAAAAUAUUCUAAGAAGUAUUUAUGAAAUUGAGUAGUGGAUACCAAUUGUUGAAAUCAAUUGAUAAGAAAAUUUCUUUGAAGAAACUCACCACUCCAGAACAUAAAUAUGAGACAGAAUAAAAAUUAUGUUGUCUCCCUUGUACUCAGAAUAUUAAACACCUAAAAUAUAUUAGCACCAGUGGUUUUAAGAAAUAUGCAACAAUAUUUCACCAGUGCCAAUACAUCACAAUCAAUUCACAAAUAA
rnacentral:lncRNA from 1 species